rnacentral:rRNA from 1 species
CCUACGGGAGGCAGCAGUGGGGAAUUUUGGACAAUGGGCGAAAGCCUGAUCCAGCAAUGCCGCGUGCAGGAAGAAGGCCUUCGGGUUGUAAACUGCUUUUGUACGGAACGAAACGGUCUGCUUUAAUACAGUGGGCUAAUGACGGUACCGUAAGAAUAAGCACCGGCUAACUACGUGCCAGCAGCCGCGGUAAUACGUAGGGUGCGAGCGUUAAUCGGAAUUACUGGGCGUAAAGCGUGCGCAGGCGGUUAUAUAAGACAGUUGUGAAAUCCCCGGGCUCAACCUGGGAAUUGCAUCUGUGACUGUAUAGCUAGAGUACGGUAGAGGGGGAUGGAAUUCCGCGUGUAGCAGUGAAAUGCGUAGAUAUGCGGAGGAACACCGAUGGCGAAGGCAAUCCCCUGGACCUGUACUGACGCUCAUGCACGAAAGCGUGGGGAGCAAACAGGAUUAGAUACCCUGGUAGUCCACGCCCUAAACGAUGUCAACUGGUGUUGGGUGCAUUAGUACUCAGUAACGAAGCUAACGCGUGAAGUUGACCGCCUGGGGGAGGACGGCGCGAGUAGUUAAGUUACGAAUUAGAGUUAGAGGCGNGNGAGNGCGAGGACGACGACGAGGGAGGAGG